rnacentral:lncRNA from 1 species
AAUUUAAAUUUUAAAUUUUAAAUUUAAAAAUUUGAAAUUCAAAAUUAGAAAUUAGAAAUUUAAAAUUUAAAAUUUAAAAUUUAAAAUCAAAAUUAAAAUUAAAUUUUAAAAUUUUUAAAUUUGAAAUAUAAAAUUUAGAUUGAAAUUUAAAAUUUUAUGUUGAAACUUAAUAUUUAAAACUUAGAUAUAUUUUUGGGGUAAGGGAGCCCAAAAUGGUGGAUUUUUUUUUCUUUGGUUAAAGUGUAUUGUAAUUUUACUUCAUUUUUUUGGAGUAUAGUAAAACUAUACUCCAAAAAUUACGUAUUUUUUUUCUUCUUCCAAACGCUUCAUAGGAUUAUUUUCCUACCGAUGUAGUAUAGUUUAAUUCUGCUAUAUUUUU